CAGACCUUGUACGUCCCCUUAUAAAUUUUAACCGUGAACAAACUUGAAACGGCGGCGUUUAUAACAUUUGUAUACAUAAUAAUAGCCAUACGUGGGUAUCGAAAUGUUUUCUGAAUUUCAAAAUUACAUUCGAUUAUAAUAUAUUUUUUAUUAUAGUAUUUUAAUUUUAUAAUGAAUUAAAUAAUUAUUAUUAUCGCGACAAUUAUUAUUACAGUCAGAUUGUAUGAAUAAAUUAUUGAUUAUUAAUAAAAUAAUGUGAUAAGGAUGAUAAAACAUUUUUUUUUUUUAAAUUGCACGUGUUGCCCUUGCACUUUAUUAAACGAAAAUAUACAACAAAUAAAAAAUUUCCUCUGAUAAUAAUUUUAUAAUUUCUGGACCACUAUAUAGUUGAACGCCCAGGGCUCUCAUCACAGUUUACCCACGAGUAGAGUACCAAAUAAAAUAAUGCCUUUAGUAACCCUCAUUAAUCAAUUCCAGGCAUCCAUUUUAACACUUCCAUUUCAUCUCCCUUUCGCCCCAAAACACUUGGUCCCUCAUUAAUAUCCCAAUAUUAUAAUAUCCGAAGUCACUAACACGAAUUUUUUUUCUAUUAAUUUUAUCUGUCCCACCAGGCAUAAACCGUGCCUAUUUAAUUCCCAGAAUUUUUAAUAAUCUUUUAAGAACAAAAAUCAAAUAACGAAAUUAAAUUUGCCGCAUUGAGUUGCCGGUCGAUGUAUUCGCUUAUAUUUUUGUCACACCAUUAAAUCCAGCAGUACUAUGGAAAUUUGUGACAUGUCAUAGAUUCAAAUAUGUAAUUUGAAAAUGCAAUAAAUCCCAAACUCUGAUCAUAUUAACUAUUCACAAAGCUUGAAAUAUUACGAUAUUAUGUUGUGUGUCGGUAGAAUUGACGGGGUUUUCGAAAAUCUGCAAUACAUACGUCCGGAAUGUGCGGACCGUAAUAAUAUAUUUGGUAUAUUACGGUGAGCAUUCGCCAAGAGCACGUCAUAAAAUUUGUGCGCACAUUCAACAGCCGUGAUUGGAUGACUGUUGUAGACAAUAAGUUGGGAAUGUACGAGGCCUGUUCAAAAAGUACCAGGACAAAUAUUAUUGCGGCUAAUAUAUACAUGAAAACGUUUGAAAUUAUAAUUAGUUGUAUUCCCAACGUAUUAGAGAAUAUUUUAAACAAAACCCUAAGUUGCUUUCAUAUCUCAGUUUAAUAAUAUACGUGGUUAAAUCUAUUCAGUUUGUUACGUUCUCCGUUUUCGUCAUGUCCGAAAUUAACGAACAACGUGUGUGCAUCAAAUUUUGCUUGAAACUUGGUAAAAAUGCAACUGAAACGUACACAAUGAUUAAAACUGCUUUUGGAGACGAUUCUUUAAGUCGCUCCGUUACUUUCGAGUGGUUUAAUUGUUUCAAGGAUGGUCGACAGUCAAUUAAAGAUGAACCACGUUCUGGAAGACCGCCGACAUCUAGAAACGAUGAUGUUGUGGCGAACAUUUACGAAAUGUGAAAUGUGCGAAAUGACUGCAGAUUAACUGUUCGCGAGUUAGCAAAUGAAGCAGGAAUUUCAAUUGGAUCUUGUCAUAAAAUUUNUUACAGAUGAGAAGGGUAGCUGCUAAAUUCGUUCCACGGUUGUUGACAUCGGAACAAAAGGAAAAUCGUUUGACGAUUUGUCAAGACCUUAAAAAUCGAUCUGCUAAUAUAAAUUUCAUGAUAAAACAUCAUCACAGGGGACAAACAAAACAUGGAUUUAUGGGUACGAUCCGGAAACAAAGUUACAGUCAUCUCAGUGGAAAACAAAAUUUUCCCCUCGAAUAAAAAAAACUCGGCAAGUGAGAUCGAAUGUCAAGACAAUGCUAAUUGUUUUUUUUGAUAUUUAAGGUAUUGUUUAUUAUGGAUUUGUGCCCCGUGGACAAACAGUCAAUUAGGUAUUCUAUAAAGAUGUAUUAAUACGUUUGCGAGUGAGAAUUCGCAAAAAACGCCCAGAAAAAUGGCGAAGUGAAACCUGGUUUUUUCGUCACGACAAUGCGCCAGCACAUUGAGGGUUGUCAAUUCGUGAAUUUUUUGCUGAAAAAGAAAUACUUGUGGUCCCACACCCUCCCUAUUCACCUGAUCUAGCCCCUUGCGAUUUUUUUCUUUUCCCGAGAAUAAAAUUGCGCUUAAAGGACAAUGAUUUCAAGACCUAGAGGAAAUUAAAGCAAAUACGGCAACAGAAUUCAAAGCUAUAACUUUAGAACAAUUUCAAAGGACUUUCGAAAAAUGGCAAGAUCGCUGGAACCACUGUAUAUUUUCUGGAGAAGAGUAUUUUGAAGGCAAUAUCUUUAAAUAAUAUGUAACUUCGUUUUUGUAAUUAUUAAAAAUAAAAUCCUGGUACUUUUUGAACAGACCUCGUAUAAAAAUAUAUCAUAGAGCCGUAUUCAGAUUACGUAACGACAAAUCAUAGCCAUAUAAAAAAAAAACAAUUCUGAGCGAAGAGAAUGGUAAACUGGUCAGGUUACAAAUCUUGGUCGUUGUUUUUUUCUUGUUAUACUCUACCUCCUUCACUACACGUGAAUAUCAGAUGGCACGAAAACAGUUCUGUAAACUAUUGGUUCAAUAAAAUUACAAUUAUGUAACAGAUAGCGUUUUAUAACGACAUUGCAAUAUUAUUUAUGAAUUUCUUGUACGUGAAUAUUGAUUAUUUUAUCAGUAUCGAAAUUAUUAAUUUUAUAAUAAUUUAACAAGUAUAAACAUAGAACAUUCAAUUACAAGUGGUGAUUUUACUGUGUUAAAUAAUUCCAAUAUGUUCGCAGAUUUUACGUACAAUUGUAUCGGGAAAUCUAUAAGUACUUAUCGACUGCGGGUGUAUCGGAUUUUAUUAAAAAUACUACGAGACUCCGAUAUUUUUCGAUUUUAAAAUUAGAUUUUCCGAAAAUCAACCAGCAGAGGGUUCGAUUAUCCCCCGGGAAUUCAUUAUUAUGUUUAAACCGAGUAUCGAUGGAGAACGGGACUCGCUUUUUUUUUUCCUUGCCUUUUUCGGAGCGACGGCCGAAAAUGUCAACGGAAACCGACGAACCACGCGGCGGACAUUAUUCUCGUUGGCCAUUUACGGAUUCCUCGCGGUCCGAUAAAUAAAUUAUACGAUACAUAAAACGGAGGAGACGGCGAGCGUUGUGCCGGCGGCGUCACACCACCACUGAGUCUCGCGAAAACACGCGCGCCG